rnacentral:rRNA from 1 species
UACGUAGGGACCAAGCGUUGUUCGGAUUUACUGGGCGUAAAGGGCGCGUAGGCGGCAAUUCAAGUCAUCUGUGAAAUCUCCGGGCUUAACUCGGAACGGUCAGAUGAUACUGCUUUGCUAGAGUGCGGAAGGGGCAAUCGGAAUUCUUGGUGUAGCAGUGAAAUGCGUAGAGAUCAAGAGGAACACUCGUGGCGAAAGCGAGCUACUGGACAAUUCCUGACGCUGAGGCUCGAAGGCUAGGGUAGCGAAAGGG